CUUCCGGCCUCCCUGCUCCCACAAAUUGGUAUCCGCCGUGGGGCAUGUCCAGUUUCUUUUUCCUCUACCGAACUACAGACGCAGAGCGGGCUUGUCUUUCCGCUUAAUCUCAACCUCGUGUGAUCUGCCAGUUUUGCUCCUGGUUAGCCCAGGACUUUUUAUAGCAUAGAGUUUUAAAGCAAAGGCUUAGAAUCAGACCUGGGUCAAAAUCCUGCCUUCCACCUUCACCAAGGCAGUGUGACCUUGACUUUCCUACAUAAGAGAUUAAAAUGUAAACCCUUAGCCCUGGGCUUGUUUUAGAAUCUGGGCCCCGUCCAUAAUUGUUUCUAUUCUAUUGCGGUACAGGGGUGGGGGUGGGGAACUACAUGCAUGUCCUCUCAGUAUACUGAAACUGGUUGCAUCGAUGGAAAACUUCCAAAGCUUCUUGAAAUAAAGACCCCAAAUUCCAGCGAAACAGCUGAUGCCAGCCAGCUUGAACACCCCUGCCACAGAACAAGGGAAUCAGCCUGAGAAUACAGCUUCUUCAUCUCCCUGUCCCAUGACUUCGCCCUGCACUC
rnacentral:lncRNA from 1 species